GGGGGAGUAUGGUGGUAAGGCUAAAACUUAAAGGAAUUGGCGGAAGGGCACUACUAGGAGUGGACCCUGUAGCUUAAUUUGACUCAACCCGGGGUAACUUACUAGGUCCAGACAUAGUAAGGAGGAAAAGACUGAGAGGUCUUUCUUGAUUCUAUGGGUGGUGGUGCAUGGUCGUUCUUAGUUGGUGGAGCGAUUUGUCUGGUUAAUUCCGUUAACAAAUGAGACCUCAGCCUGCUAACUAGCUAUGCGGAGGUAUCCCUUCGUGGCCAGCUUCUUAGAGGGACUAUGGCCUUUUAGGCCCCGUAAGUUUGAGGCAAUAACAAGUCUGUGAUGCCCUUGAAUGUUCUGGGCCAUAUUUGCGCUACACUAAUGUAUUCAACGAGUUUAUAACCUUGGUCGACAGGCCCAGGUAAUCUUUGAAAUUUUAUCAUGAUGGGGAUAGAUCGUUGCAAUUGUUGGUCUUCCAUGAAGAAUUCCUAUUAAGCGCGAGUUAUCAGCUCGUGUUGACUACGUCCCUGCCCUUUUACACACCACCCAUUGCUCCUACCAAUUGAAUGAUCCGAUGAAAUGUUCGGAUUGCUGCAAAGUAGGCGGUUUGCUGCUCGCGACAUCGCAAAAUGUCCAUUGAACCUUAUUAUUUAGAGGAAGGAGAAUUCGCAAUAAGGUUUUCGUAGGAGCACUGAAAG
rnacentral:ncRNA from 1 species